UCAAAUAACUAAUGUACUUAAGUGAGAACAGUAAAACGGUAAGUACCUACCUACUUAAAAGCUCUAAUUCUUAUUUUAUUGUCUAUUAGAUAAACACAAAUAGUACAGAAGUGGUUUGUUUACAGAUGAAGCGUUCAAGCGUUGAGAUUCCACCGUGCUCUACAGUGCUUCGCCGUCGCGUCGACGACGAGCGGCAGGACGUCUGCGAGACUGCUACAACCUGCAUCGGUGCCGGUCUAACACACCAAGGCUCCGAUAUUUAUAAAGGAAAUGCACAAUGCUAAAAACUGCGUAGGAGAUUUUAAUACAAUAGUACUACCAAGCCUGAUGUUGGCCGCUAUUUCAAUGAAUGCAGCAGUGUCACAGCUAGCAAUCAAAAGUAACAAGAUAUUGAGGAAAUGCAGAUGGCAAUAAACUGUGUAGGAGUUCAUGAUUGCAAUAGAAUAAAAUCGACCAAGCCUGAAGUCAGCAGCCCCUUCAAUGAAUGCAGCAGUGUGACAGCCAACAAUCAAAAGUUACAAGAUAUCGAGGAAAUGCAGAAGGCAAAAAACUGCGUAGGAGAUCAUUAAUACAAAAGUAUUAUAUAAACCAAACCUGAUGUUGCCAGCUCCUUCAAUGAAUGCAGCAGUGUGACAGCCAACAAUCAAAAGUAACAAGAUAUCGAGGAAAUGCAGAAGGCAAAAAACUGCGUAGGAGAUCAUUAAACAAUAGUAUUAUAUAAACCAAACCUGAUGUUGGCCGCGCAUUCAAAGAAUGCAGCAGUGUGACAGCCAGCAAUCAAAAGUAACAAGAUGUCGAGGAAAUGCAGAGUAUAAUAAACUGUGUAGGAGAUUAUGAUUGCAAUAGAAUAAAAUCGACCAAGCCUGAAGUCCUUCAAUGCACGCAGCAGUGUGACAGCCAGCAAUCAAAAGUUACAAGAUAUCGAGGAAAUGCGCAAUAAACUGUGUAGGAGUUUAUGAUUGCAAUAGAAUAAAAUCGACCAAGCCUGAAGACAGCAGCCCCUUCAAUGAAUGCAGCAGUGUGACAGCCAACAAUCAAAAGUUACAAGAUAUCGAGGAAAUGCAGAAGGCAAAAAACUGCGUAGGAGAUCAUUAAUACAAAAGUAUUAUAUAAACCAAACCUGAUGUUGCCAGCUCCUUCAAUGAAUGCAGCAGUGUGACAGCCAGCAAUCAAAAGUAACAAGAUGUCGAGGAAAUGCAGAAGGCAAAAAACUGCGUAGGAGAUCAUUAAUACAAUAGUAUUAUAUAAACCAAGCCUGAUGUUGGCCGCUCAUUCAAAGAAUGCAGCAGUGUGACAGCCAGCAAUCAAAAGUAACAAGAUAUCGAGGAAAUGCAGAAGGCAAAAAACUGCGUAGGAGAUUAUUAAUACAAUAGUAUUAUAUCAACCAAGCCUGAUGUCGGUAGCUUCUUCAAUGAAUGCAGCAGUGUGACAGCCAGCAAUCAAUAGUGAUAGUGACAAGAAUCUAGGAAAUACAGAAGGCAAAGAAGCAGAUGUCAUCAAAGAAGAUCUUUGUUCCUGCAAUGUUUCCGCAGACGAUACAUCCAACAGAGCGAAGUGGAAGGAAAAGACUCGGAAAAAAGACCCCACCACCAUAUGGGAACAAUGCAAGGGAGAGAGAGAGAAUAUAAUUUUAUAUUUUUAUUUUUUGAUAACAUAAAAUAAACCAACAAUAUCCUACACAUUUUUUUUAUUUCUUUUUGUGUCUGUCUUAAUAGUUAUUACAAAUCUGUGAUGCGAAACAAACU